rnacentral:rRNA from 1 species
UACAGAGGGGGCAAGCGUUGUUCGGAAUUACUGGGCGUAAAGGGCGCGUAGGCGGCCCGCUAAGUCGAACGUGAAAUCCCCGAGCUCAACUCGGGAACUGCGUCCGAUACUGGUGGGCUUGAAUCUGGGAGAGGGAUGCGGAAUUCCAGGUGUAGCGGUGAAAUGCGUAGAUAUCUGGAGGAACACCGGUGGCGAAGGCGGCAUCCUGGACCGGCAUUGACGCUGAGGCGCGAAAGCUAGGGGAGCAAACGGG